CCUUUGCCUAUAAAUAUGGAUCCCAUGGGGGGUCCAUUUUGCACAUUUGUCUUUGAAGUGGUACCCUACUUGAGGUUGGAGAGAUUGUUCCCAAAUGUCUGUCUGCUAGUUUCUUCUCAUUUCGUCUUUCUUCUUCAGUUUGUCCUGCGUGAGUCUUCUCUUUAUGAGUUCCUUUUUUUUUUCCUUUAUUCUGUUAGUUCUAUGUUGAACUCCAUAGACAACGAGUUUGCAGAGAUUGAGUUGGUAGAGAGGGAGGUUGUGAAAUCAGCCUCCUAAGCUCGUAGAGAGUUGGGGGAGUUCACCUGGUCUCUAACAAGAUCGAAAUUAGCCCCAAUGAACCCUUCACCCCUAGCCAAUGUACCUUAGUCGACCUGUAGAGGAUUCAUCUUCUUUAUGGGGGUCCCGACGAGUUCCGUUUUAGGCUUUCCAUUCCCAGCGAGGCCCCCUAGCACCAUAGUCAUAACGAGGUUUGUGUGUUCGAGCAACACUUCAUUGUGAGGUUGAGGUUUCCCCUUCCUCGUCUAGUUAUCAACCUUCUUAAUUGCUUCUUAAUCACUUUAGGGCAGCUUUCCCCUUACACCAUUAGACUUAUAAUCGGUGUUGCAUCGGUGAGGCAUGCACACAAAGUUUCCAUUAAUAUAAGGGCUUUCUUGGUUCUCUGUGGUCUUAACCACACCCCUGAUGACAAAAAAUUCUGUUAUUUUACCUUCGAGACCAAUAAGAAGUUCCUCGAAGGCCUCCCAAACAAGGUCUCAAACUGAAAGUCAAACUACUUCUUCAUCGUCCAAGAUAGUUUCUAGAGGUUCAUUAAUCACCGGGGCUUGGCUAUUGGUGACCCUAACGGUCAAUACGUGACCUUGGAGGAAUCGAGCCAAUUGUAGGAGGUUGCUCGUCUCGAGCUGAAGAUUGAUGAUUUCCUGAUUGAGGACACACUCCUACGAGUUGGCUUGAGCCCAAAGUGUCAAGAGAGCUAUGGACUUGACGCUAGGAAGAUUUUACACUAGCAGGAAGCCAAGGCUGAAGAAGAGGAAGACCAUAGAAGCCGAGCCUUCUCAUGAUGUCGAGGUGUGAGUUACCUCAUCUGCCCUUGAGGUCAUUUCCAUUAAUGAUGAGGUUCUUUAGGCCAAGGUAACUGAAUAACCCUUCGGGAUGGAAGCGCAGUCGGGGCUAAGGACACUCCAAUGCCUCCACCUCCAGUGACUUUUCGGACACUGAUCUCCUCUGUUCCCUCAACUACUACACAAAUGGGACCUUUCGUUCAGCCCUUUGAACGGGCGUUGAUUUGGACUGCUAUGUAGUUGGUUUGCCAAAAUGAUAAUGUGCAGAAUCGUGCCAUUGCUUGCGAGCUGAGCAGGGGGUCAGUGCUGCCUUCUUCUUGGGCGGAGAUUAAAAGUUUGCCCUUUGAUGUUAUGGAGACUCGCCUCUUCAAAUAUAUUAUGAAGGCCAAUGCUAUGGGCCAAGGGGUGUGCGAACGAGCUCAGAGGCUGUAGGACCGAGUUGAUAACUUAGCUCAGAUAGAAGAAGGUUAUCUUGUUGAGCUAACAAGGCGUUGAAAGAGAAGGAUCAGGUGGUGUCCAUCUUUGAAGCUCUCAAGGCUGAGCAUGAAACGAUCGUCGCCAAUCAUUGGACAACUAUUACCAAGUUAUCCCAAAAGCUUAAGGCGUUUGAGUUUGAACGCUGUGUGUUGUUAGACGAACUCAAGGACCGAGAGGAGAGGGAGAAUGCGAUAAAGGCUGGAUUGUUGAAGGCUUAGGAGGAGCUAAAAGCCCGGUUGGAAAAGCUAAGGAAGAAAGAGAGGAAUUGCUUGUAGCAACUCAGGAGAAAAUGGUUGCUGACUUCAAGCUCUCCAGGGAGUAUAGUUGGAGAAGGUCGAGUUUGCGAAGCCCUAUGUGAUGAAGGGUUUCAGGCUAUGCAAGCUCCUUUCCACCAGGAUCCUGGACAACCCCAUUGGCUAGUUCAAGAUUUUGGAGGCUCUAGAUGAGUUCUUCUUGGUGCCUGACAUGGACAGUGAUGCUGAGGAGGAAACCACGACCACUAAAUCUGACUUGACGACUCCUACAAGUGAUUAGGCUUUCAGCAAUCUGCCUCCUCUAGUGACCAGUUGAUAUUUUCUCUUUUUGGUGUACUCCCCAAGCUAUUGUGCUUGGUUUUUAUGAUGUGGACCUUUUGUUACUUGCUUCUUUUGUCUUUUUGAACUUCUAUGUACCAACCUUCUUUGAUCAAUAAUAGAA